GUUCAGUAAACGACACAAGUUUUCCCGAUGUACUCCGGGUUUUACAUCAGUGUUGUUUGCAACGCCGUAUCCUUCAAUUUCAUUGAAGACAUCAAGCGAACAUAAACUUGAACGGUGUAUGAUGUGCUUGCAAAAGUAAAAAAACAACGUACAUAAACGCCAACGUGUACAUAGAGAUUUUCAUUGAAAAGGUGUACUCCGGAAUUAUUCCGCUUUUGACUCCAUUUUAUAUUUUUAUUUGAGCUCUCUACGUUUGAGGUAGCAAAGGUAUACACAUGAAUACAAAAACGAAAAAAAGUUUCUUUUUUUCUCUCUUUUGAAAUGAAAAGGUUGAAAAGCAUUUUAAUUUGAGGAUAUUCCAACCUGAAGCAAGUUGUACCAAUGUUAAUGAUGGAAGACCCUGUUAGAAUACUGUGCAUACCUGGGGCUAAAACUUAAUCAAAGAUGACCUAUGCUGAAGUGGUGAGACUUGCUAUGCAUGUAACAGGAGACCAAACUGAGACCACCUUUGAUAUAAAGUGUAUAGAAAUGAAGAAAUCAAUGGGAGCCCCUGCCAAAAAGAGGAGUGUUGUUACAGAAUAUAAGUUCCCAAUGAAACAGGGUAUAGAUGAGUGAUCUAGUGUUUGAGUUCACUGAGGAUGUGGCUGUCAUCCUAACAAACAAAGGUUUACAUAGUAUUUAUCAGGCAACAUUCAGACAGUCAGAUAUUCUACAUUUCGGAUACGGAAUAAAGAAAUUGCUGUUGAGGAAGAGAGAAGUUUCUGUGACGAGAUUGAUACACAUAGAGCAUUUGAGUGUAAUGAAGUUGUGAGUAGUAUUUUAACCAAAAGAACAUCUACCCUAACAACAGUGAAGAUUAAAGGGAUCAGUUGCUGUAUGGUGAUAUUGAAAGAAAUCCAGGACCUACAAUGGUUUAUGAAGACUUCUUAGAGCUUGCCAUAUAAGUGUCAACAAUUUUAAAGAACAGAGAAGACUAUUAUUGCACUUAGUUUUGAGUUUUUGUUUUAUAUUUUAUCACUAUGAUAGACUAAUGUUAAAUUCAGGAAUUGUAUUUUUCUGAUAUAUCUGUUUUGUAAUUACGUUUUACUCAUUUUUAAAUACGUUUGAGACGUUUUUUUUAUACCUUUUCCUACUUGAGUAGCAUUGACAACUAUUUUAAGUUUUUAGUAAGGUUACUUUCUUUGGGUUUUGUAUUUUAUAAUAUUAAGAUGUCAUACUUGAAUACCUUGUAGUUAUGAACUGUGUAUUUUACUUCUUGAUUCUUUGAUAUGUGUAGUAUUAUUCUCCCCCCCCUCCAAUUAUAUUUAGUUUUGUAAAAUAUAUUUUCCAUAAGGCCUGUCAACAAUGGAUGCCUCUCUAGAUAAAGAUUAAAUAAUCUUGGCAAACAUUAAAUAUGAAUUUCAAAAGAAAAAAAUAUGUAUGAAGACUCCAUACAAAACUACUUUGGAAAGUAUCACUCCAGUGAUUCUUCUGGUAAAAUUCAGGUAUGGUCUAAAUCUCAGUUUUCAUUGGGAACUUUCUUCAUUGCAUAGAGGAUGCUUUAUCAUCUGUUUUAUUAUACCUAACAAUGCAAGUGUUAAAUGUUGGGAAUACAGAAAGACAGACAUAAUGAUUAUGAUAAGUUAACAAAUAAUUUUACUUCAAAUAUAAUGAAUAUUUAAACUGGAAUUGACUAUUCACAUGUUAUGCUCAUUGAUUGUUGACAUUAUGUGUUGAAAAACAGAAAUAAGUCAAAAGAAUUACAAGACAGAAAGUCCAAAAGUCACAAUUUAUCAAUUGAUAAUAAAUUUGUUUGCUCUAUAAUAGAAUAGAAUGUUUCUAAAAAUGUCGAUUGAAUUAGACUUUCUAUAAAAAAAAUAUCUCUCCAAACCACAUU